AAGUCGUAACAAGGUUUCCGUAGGUGAACCUGCGGAAGGAUCAUUAGCGCAUUCUUUGUUUCUUUCUUUGUUGUGGAAACUCAAUGGGGGAGCUUUGGCUCUCUGUUUGUUUUCCCUCAAACUCGUUUCUUGGUGAACUGAGUGUGUUUUCUUUGUUUGCUUUUUGAUCUUGUGUGUGAUGAGAGAGGAGGAGAGAUGAGUGAGUGUGUGGGUUCCACUCUCUCCUCGUUUCUCAUUUCUCUCUCUCCACACAUUUUCAAAUACCCCAACCACACAACCAAACCAAUCACUUGGUCAAACGAACAACAAACCAAAAACAAAAAACAACUCUUAACAAUGGAUUUCUUGGUUCUC
rnacentral:misc_RNA from 1 species